GCAAACUUGGUCAUUUAGAGGAAGUAAAAGUCGUAACAAGGUUUCCGUAGGUGAACCUGCGGAAGGAUCAUUACAGCGUUUUUUGCGGCGCGUGUAGGCUGCUCCUGUAGCAUACCGCGCCGCUGAAACCCCACCCGUGUCUACUGUACCGUCUGUUGCUUCGGCGGGCCCGCCCCUGGGCCGCUGGGGGGCUCCCCCUGGCCAGCGCCCGCCGAAGGCGCAUCUGAACCCUAUUGUGAAUCGUGGCUGUCUGAGUGGGAUUUUGAAUCGUUAAAACUUUCAACAAUGGAUCUCUUGGUUCCGGCAUCGAUGAAGAACGCAGC
rnacentral:misc_RNA from 1 species